rnacentral:piRNA from 1 species
UUCCACCUUAUGAAGCUUCAUCCCU